UACAGAGGUCUCAAGCGUUGUUCGGAUUCAUUGGGCGUAAAGGGCUCGUAGGCGGACUCUUAAGUCGGUGGUGAAAUCCUGGAGCUCAACUCCAGAACUGCCUUUGAUACUGAGGAGCUUCGAGUCCGGGAGAGGUGAGUGGAACUGCGAGUGUAGAGGUGAAAUUCGUAGAUAUUCGCAAGAACACCAGUGGCGAAGGCGGCUCACUGGCCCGGUACUGACGCUGAGGUGCGAAAGCGUGGGGAGCAACAGGAUAAGAU
rnacentral:rRNA from 1 species